GACGAACCGUGCAAACGUUGUUCGGAAUCACUGGGCUUAAAGGGCGCGUAGGCGGCCUUCUCAGUCGGACGUGAAAUCCCCGGGCUUAACUCGGGAACUGCGUCCGAUACUGGAAGGCUGGAGUUCGGGAGAGGGAUGCGGAAUUCCAGGUGUAGCGGUGAAAUGCGUAGAUAUCUGGAGGAACACCGGUGGCGAAGGCGGCAUCCUGGACCAAUAUUGACGCUGAGGAGCGAAAGCUAGGGGAGCAAACGGG
rnacentral:rRNA from 1 species